GGUCAACUGGUGUAGUGGUUAUCACAUCUGUCUUACAAGCAUCCCGUCAUGGUUGUAGGCACACAGAAGGCCGCAGGUUCGAUCCCUGCGUUGAUCA